AAACUCAAAAUUUUGAAAUUGGAAGAGAAUGAAUGGAUCCGCAAACCCCUGCGAGAACCACAGAGUUGGAUUCGUCUUCGAUUUCAAAGGUCAGGGUCGUCCUUCGAGUUCGUCCCCGGGAGAUUUGCGCCGGCAAUGACGAGAGCUGCCGAAACGAAAGCUAUCAGCUGGAUGCGUUUUACGGGAGAGAUGAUGAUAACGUGAAGCAGAUCUUCGAUAGAGAAGUAAGCCCUUUGGGUUUUGAUUCCUGGGGUGGUCUUUCACGGUUUCAACGCUACAGUGCUUGCUUAUGGGAGCCACCAAGACCUUUUUAUCUAUGCAGGACAUAGGUAUCCCUUUCAGUGGUCUGGUGUUCUACAUCUUAAAACCACACUUCCCUCAUACUUUAUGCAUGCACAGGGAUCCAUUUGUGACCGCAAGGAACUUUUUUGGUGGGGAAACUCUUGCCGCUUCACAUCUAUGGGAACCUUUACAGAAUCUGCAGUUAGCUUCUCCAACCAAAGAAGAUGAGAUAGACACAUCUGGCGACGAGAAACUAUUGGUAUCAGAAGCAAGCUUUGAGAGGUUUUCAAUAGCUGAUUCAAACACAUGUAUGAAUGAACAAAGGAGAUAACGAGUCUUGAGGAAUCGGAAUUAAAAGGUUUGAUCGGGACUGGAAAAAAAAUAGAAGACUUUGUUGGUUCAAAGACAACUAUUCAGAUCAGGAGCCAUGCCCAAAAAUACUUUUUAAAGGUCCAGAAAAAUGGGACUUUAACACAUGUGCCACCCCCUAGGCCUAAGCGCAAAGCUGCUCACCCAUAGCCUCAAAAGGCAUAAAAGAAAUGGCCAACAUGUAAUCAAUCUGACCGCAACUCAAUUCUGCAGCUCAAAUGUCGCUUCAUGUUUCCAUGUCCUUUCCUACUCAAAUAAACAACCUUCCUGGCUACACUUCAUGGGAUGAUGAUACCUCCACAUUGCUUAAUAUAGCCGUAAGCGGGGUUACUCCACCAGAAUAUGAACUUGAUACUUUUUGUGGAG